UGAAACGAUAAAAACCGUAUUCAGUAUAAAUCAUAAUCUUUUUUGUCAUUACCGCAGUUUAUGAGUGCCCUAGUAUUAAAAGUAUACUGACGUCGCCUAAUAAUUUAAACUUUGUUAAAUUUAUGUGAAAUUAUCAUUAGAAAUGUUUUGUCCAGCCGACUCAGAAAACUGCUGCGAUCACCGCCAUAUUAAGUACUUUUUUAAUUGCUAGCACUUUUGUUCUGCUGUCGUCUUGAGCGAAAAUCGAUUAUAGUUUUCGAAAUACACAGGCGCCAUUCACUCGGACAGCAUGGAAAUCACCAUCAUUUUCCUGGUUUAACCGAGUGGAAACCCU